rnacentral:tRNA from 1 species
GUCUCUGUAGUGCAUUGGAUAGCACAUUGGACUUCUAAUCCAAAAGUCGUGGGUUCGAAUCCCACCUGGAAUG